CCUACGGGAGGCAGCAGUGAGGAAUAUUGGUCAAUGGGCGAGAGCCUGAACCAGCCAAGUCGCGUGAGGGAGUACUGCCCUAUGGGUUGUAAACCUCUUUUGUCGGGGAGCAAAAGCCGGACGUGUCCGGCUGUGAGAGUACCCGAAGAAAAAGCAUCGGCUAACUCCGUGCCAGCAGCCGCGGUAAUACGGAGGAUGCGAGCGUUAUCCGGAUUUAUUGGGUUUAAAGGGUGCGCAGGCGGAUUUUUAAGUCAGCGGUAAAAUCGUGGGGCGCAACCCCAUCCAGCCGUUGAAACUGGGGAUCUAGAGUGUGCGAGAGGUAGGCGGAAUGCGUGGUGUAGCGGUGAAAUGCAUAGAUAUCACGCAGAACCCCGAUUGCGAAGGCAGCAUACCGGUGCACAACUGACGCUCAGGCACGAAAGCGUGGGUAUCGAACAGGAUUAGAUACCCGAGUAGUC
rnacentral:rRNA from 1 species